rnacentral:misc_RNA from 1 species
GGAGGUACCUACGGAGAAAAGCGGCCCCCCUCCCCCCGUGUUUCUUGUCCUUAGUUGCUUCGGCGGGCCCGCCUUUCAUGGCCGCCGGGGGCUCUCAGCCCCGGGCCCGCGCCCGCCGGAGACACCACGAACUCUGUCUGAUCUAGUGAAGUCUGAGUUGAUUGUAUCGCAAUCAGUUAAAACUUUCAACAAUGGAUCUCUUGGUUCCGGCAUCGAUGAAGAACGCAGCGAAAUGCGAUAACUAGUGUGAAUUGCAGAAUUCCGUGAAUCAUCGAGUCUUUGAACGCACAUUGCGCCCCCUGGUAUUCCGGGGGGCAUGCCUGUCCGAGCGUCAUUGCUGCCCAUCAAGCACGGCUUGUGUGUUGGGUCGUCGUCCCCUCUCCGGGGGGGACGGGCCCCAAAGGCAGCGGCGGCACCGCGUCCGAUCCUCGAGCGUAUGGGGCUUUGUCACCCGCUCUGUAGGCCCGGCCGGCGCUUGCCGAACGCAAAUCAAUCUUUUUCCAGGUUGACCUCGGAUCAGGUAGGGAUACCCGCUGAACUUAAGCAUAUCAAUAAGCGGAGGAAAGAAACGUUGAACUUAAUAUA